rnacentral:rRNA from 1 species
CUUUCUCCGCCGGCGACCGGCGCACGGGUGAGUAACACGUAUGCAACCUGCCCCUGUCAGGGGGACAACCCGCCGAAAGGCGGGCUAAACCCGCGUACAUGCCACCGGGGCAUCCCGGAGGCAGGAAAGGCUUCGGCCGGACAGGGAUGGGCAUGCGGCGCAAUAGGCAGUAGGCGGGGUAACGGCCCACCUAACCGACGAUGCGUAGGGGUUCUGAGAGGAAGGUCCCCCACACUGGUACUGAGACACGGACCAGACUCCUACGGGAGGCAGCAG